rnacentral:misc_RNA from 1 species
CUGAGUACUACACUCUCUACCCUUUGUGAACUAUUAUACCUGUUGCUUCGGCGGCGCCCGCGAGGGUGCCCGCCGGUCUCAUCAGAAUCUCUGUUUUCGAACCCGACGAUACUUCUGAGUGAUCUUAGCGAACUGUCA